rnacentral:lncRNA from 1 species
UGAAGGUAAACACGUCAUCAAUCUAAACAAAGAAUGGAUUUGACUGAGAGUGACACAUAUGGAAUUUUAGUCGGCUAUUAAAAACAUAAAAUGAAUGUCAAGAAGUACUUAUAACAGCAUAGUGCCAUAUUCUUUAUCUGAUGAUACUGUGCCAAGUACGAGAUAGUUCCAGUGUUCGGAGACUUUCCCCCAUUCAGGCAGACCAGAAACUCAGUGAAGACUAGGACGAGGUGGAAGGAAGAAGGGAAGGAGAUCGUGCGUGCAGGAGUGCGUUAAAGGAGUGGUCGGAGUGUUAAUAGUGCAGCGAAGUGCCAGUUACGUUUGUGGUUGCUUAAUGCUUGUUCUUAGUCACCACCAUCACUACCACCGCCACCGCCAGGAGUGAAGGCAGUGGUGGUAGAUGCAGUCAGAGGAGUGUAGGUUCACUUGGAGACUCUCUAAAGUACAAACCAAUGGCACUAUCGCAAUCAGAGGACGAGAAAUAUUAGACUCGCUUCCACUCCGCUUUGUAUCUAUUAAUCUUAGUUCCUCUGAUCUGCUAUCUAGUAACGUAACCUGAGAGUUGAUACAUUGUAAGAAAAGAGGACGUCAGAUUGAGGGAAAGUUAAUGUAGGGAGUGCGAUAUGUAUGUCAACUAUAGUGACUGUGUCUCGACAAUAAGCUAAACACUUGGAGAGUCUUCAAUGUGAACGUCUAGGGAGCUCCUGCUAGUCAUCACCACCUCCACCACCACCACCAGUACCCUCUUUACGGCGAUCACCACAACAUUAGGAAAAAGCUCUGUCGCCUCCCUGCCGUGUCCUCCUUGUCCCCUGCCCCACU